rnacentral:misc_RNA from 1 species
AAACGUUCCCUUUCACUUUGCCUUAAUGGUCUUGGGAACUGAGAAAUUAUUUGUGGAACUACUACGGCAGCUGUUGGUAUAGUAACUUCAGGUGCCAAAGACUUUGGCACCUCCCUUUCACAAACUACCUGAGCUUCAGUAUGCAUCUCAACUUGUUGUGGUCGAUUAUCAGUAGCUUUAAUCGGUGGUACAUGUAUCAGGCUUUCUCCAGCAUUAUGCACCACGGACUGCUUAGGAGCAGGUAGCGGUGGGACCAAUAUUGUAACUUUCUGCUUCUUGACUAUUAUCCAGCUAUCUUCAUCCAGGUGGUUUACCUGUGAAGGUCCCAGACUAUCUUUCUUAGUUUUAGGAACAGGUACAGACUGUCGAUGUUUUGUCCUUGCCAUAAGUUGCUGACCUGCUUCUACCCUAAUCAUUGACCUUCACAGCCUCCUUUUAAG